rnacentral:lncRNA from 1 species
AUGGCUCAGCAGCUUCUCCUAUGGAGGUUCCUGACCUCUGUCAUCUCCGGGAAGCCCACUGAGGGUGGGUGGGCAGCCCUCGCCUCCAGGGCACUGUAGACCCCAAAAGUACAGUCCUAGUAACCUGACAGUAACACCCGGCUACUCCUGGUCGAUAGACACCACCAGUGUCUGUACAAACUCUAACAUCCAGGAUGAACCUGACUUUCAAGACCAAGUUGUCAACACGGAGACACCAGUGGUUGUGGAUUUCCAUGCACCGUGUUGUGGUCCCUGCAAGAUCCGGGGGCCAAGAUUAGAGAAAAUGGUGACCAAGCAGCAGGGGAAGGAGGUGGAUACUGAUGACCACACAGACCUCACUGUAGGGUGGGCUGACACCGUGCCCACUGUGCUGGCCAGGAAGAACGGGGAUGUGGUGGACAAGUUCGUGGACAUCAAAUGAUGAGGACGAGCUGGAGACCUUCCUGAAGAAGCUGACUGGCUGA